GCCGUACUUCCGAGUUAAGGUAGACACAAGAGACUUAAAAUCUCUCGACCUCACGGUCGUGCCGGUUCGAUUCCGGCUCCGGGCACCA
rnacentral:tRNA from 1 species